rnacentral:rRNA from 1 species
CCUACGGGUGGCAGCAGUGAGGAAUAUUGGUCAAUGGGCGAGAGUCUGAACCAGCCAAGUAGCGUGAAGGAUGACUGCCCUAUGGGUUGUAAACUGCUUUUAUAUGGGAAUAAAAUGUUCCACGUGUGGGCUUUUGUAUGUACCGUAUGAAUAAGGAUCGGCUAAAUCCGUGCCAGCAGCCGCGGUAAUACGGAGGCUCCGAGCGUUAUCCGGAUUUAUUGGGUUUAAAGGGAGCGUAGGUGGAUGGUUAAGUCAGUUGUGAAAGUUUGCGGCUCAACCGUAAAAUGGAAGUUGAAACUGGCAGUCUUGAGUACAGUAGAGGUGGGCGGACUUCGUGGUGUAGCGGUGAAAUGCUUAGAUAUCACGAAGAACCCCGAUUGCGAAGGCAGCUCACUGGACUGCAACUGACACUGAGGCUCGAAAGCGUGGGUAUCAAACAGGAUGAGAUACCCUUGUAGUC